rnacentral:rRNA from 1 species
CAGUCGCCACGGGAAUACGGAGGGUGCAAGCGUUAAUCGGAAUUACUGGGCGUAAAGCGUGCGUAGGCGGUUCGUUAAGUCUGUUGUGAAAGCCCCGGGCUCAACCUGGGAAUGGCAAUGGAUACUGGCGAGCUAGAGUGUGUCAGGGGAUGGUGGAAUUCCCGGUGUAGCGGUGAAAUGCGUAGAGAUCGGGAGGAACAUCAGUGGCGAAGGCGGCCAUCUGGGACAACACUGACGCUGGGGCACGAAAGCGUGGGGAGCAAACAGGAUUAGAUACCCCGGUAGUCCCUGUCUCUUAUAC